AUAUUCAGAGUUGUGUUGUGGAAUUAAUUAUUUUUAAUAAAUUAGAUAUAUUUUUUUUUUUAGCUAUGAUAUAUGAAUGAACUUUAUUAGGUUACCAUAAUAAUUAUGAUCAUGCAAUAGUGCACAUCCUGGCAACUUAUAAAAGACAUUAAAAGUGAAAUUGAACGCGAUUCCACUCAACUGGUAUUGUUGUUAAUGUAUAGUUUAAGGCUUUUGGCUCAAUACAACAUAUGUACAUGUGUAUGUACGUAUAUAUACAUAUUUAUAUAAUUCUAAUCUUUCAAGUUCAUGAAGAAAUCUUUUCAUUGGUGUCUAGGUUUCACCUUCCCAUUGCAUACCAUGGGCGAGCAUCAUCUGUUGUAAUCUCUAGAACGGACAUUAUUCGACCGAGAUAUUUGGUUGCAAUUGAGACAAAGAAAAUUCUUGAGAUGGAAGGAGUUCGAAAUCCAUUGCCUCCUUCAUUGUACAACUUUUAUGUAUUGAUUGAAACGACAGGCAGUAGCGAGUCUUCUAACAA